rnacentral:rRNA from 1 species
GACGAACGCUGGCGGCGUGCUUAACACAUGCAAGUCGAACGGAAAGGCCCUGCUUUUGUGGGGUGCUCGAGUGGCGAACGGGUGAGUAACACGUGAGUAACCUGCCCUUGACUUUGGGAUAACUUCAGGAAACUGGGGCUAAUACCGGAUAGGAGCUCCUGCUGCCUGGUGGGGGUUGGAAAGUUUCGGCGGUUGGGGAUGGACUCGCGGGUUAUCAGCUUGUUGGUGGGGUAGUGGCUUACCAAGGCUUUGACGGGUAGCCGGCCUGAGAGGGUGACCGGCCACAUUGGGACUGAGAUACGGCCCAGACUCCUACGGGAGGCAGCAGUGGGGAAUAUUGCACAAUGGGCGGAAGCCUGAUGCAGCAACGCCGCGUGCGGGAUGACGGCCUUCGGGUUGUAAACCGCUUUCGCCUGUGACGAAGCGUGAGUGACGGUAAUGGGUAAAGAAGCACCGGCUAACUACGU